rnacentral:rRNA from 1 species
UUGAAGAGUUUGAUCAUGGCUCAGAUUGAACGCUGGCGGCAGGCCUAACACAUGCAAGUCGAGCGGUAGCACAGAGAGCUUGCUCUCGGGUGACGAGCGGCGGACGGGUGAGUAAUGUCUGGGAAACUGCCUGAUGGAGGGGGAUAACUACUGGAAACGGUAGCUAAUACCGCAUAACGUCGCAAGACCAAAGUGGGGGACCUUCGGGCCUCAUGCCAUCAGAUGUGCCCAGAUGGGAUUAGCUAGUAGGUGGGGUAACGGCUCACCUAGGCGACGAUCCCUAGCUGGUCUGAGAGGAUGACCAGCCACACUGGAACUGAGACACGGUCCAGACUCCUACGGGAGGCAGCAGUGGGGAAUAUUGCACAAUGGGCGCAAGCCUGAUGCAGCCAUGCCGCGUGUGUGAAGAAGGCCUUCGGGUUGUAAAGCACUUUCAGCGGGGAGGAAGGCGAUAAGGUUAAUAACCUUGUCGAUUGACGUUACCCGCAGAAGAAGCACCGGCUAACUCCGUGCCAGCAGCCGCGGUAAUACGGAGGGUGCAAGCGUUAAUCGGAAUUACUGGGCGUAAAGCGCACGCAGGCGGUCUGUCAAGUCGGAUGUGAAAUCCCCGGGCUUAACCUGGGAACUGCAUUCGAAACUGGCAGGCUAGAGUCUUGUAGAGGGGGGUAGAAUUCCAGGUGUAGCGGUGAAAUGCGUAGAGAUCUGGAGGAAUACCGGUGGCGAAGGCGGCCCCCUGGACAAAGACUGACGCUCAGGUGCGAAAGCGUGGGGAGCAAACAGGAUUAGAUACCCUGGUAGUCCACGCCGUAAACGAUGUCGAUUUGGAGGUUGUGCCCUUGAGGCGUGGCUUCCGGAGCUAACGCGUUAAAUCGACCGCCUGGGGAGUACGGCCGCAAGGUUAAAACUCAAAUGAAUUGACGGGGGCCCGCACAAGCGGUGGAGCAUGUGGUUUAAUUCGAUGCAACGCGAAGAACCUUACCUGGUCUUGACAUCCACAGAACUUUCCAGAGAUGGAUUGGUGCCUUCGGGAACUGUGAGACAGGUGCUGCAUGGCUGUCGUCAGCUCGUGUUGUGAAAUGUUGGGUUAAGUCCCGCAACGAGCGCAACCCUUAUCCUUUGUUGCCAGCGGUUAGGCCGGGAACUCAAAGGAGACUGCCAGUGAUAAACUGGAGGAAGGUGGGGAUGACGUCAAGUCAUCAUGGCCCUUACGACCAGGGCUACACACGUGCUACAAUGGCAUAUACAAAGAGAAGCGACCUCGCGAGAGCAAGCGGACCUCAUAAAGUAUGUCGUAGUCCGGAUUGGAGUCUGCAACUCGACUCCAUGAAGUCGGAAUCGCUAGUAAUCGUAGAUCAGAAUGCUACGGUGAAUACGUUCCCGGGCCUUGUACACACCGCCCGUCACACCAUGGGAGUGGGUUGCAAAAGAAGUAGGUAGCUUAACCUUCGGGAGGGCGCUUACCACUUUGUGAUUCAUGACUGGGGUGAAGUCGUAACAAGGUAACCGUAGGGGAACCUGCGGUUGGAUCACCUCCUU